CUGGCUCAGGACGAACGCUGGCGGCGUGCUUAACACAUGCAAGUCGAACGAGGAUAUGCGAGCGGAGAGCUUCGGCAGGAAGUUGCAUAUUCGAGUGGCGGACGGGUGAGUAACGCGUGAACAAUCUGUCCCAGACGAGGGGGAUAACACUUGGAAACAGGUGCUAAUACCGCAUAAGACCACGGUAUCGCAUGGUACGAAGGGGUAAAAGGAGCAAUCCGGGUUUGGGUGAGUCGCGUCCGAUAGCCAGUUGGGGGGUAACGGCCCACCAAAGCGACGAUCGGUAGCCGACCUGAGAGGGUGAUCGGCCACAUUGGAACUGGGAGACGGUCCAAACUCCUACGGGAGGCAGCAGUGGGGAAUAUUGGGCAAUGGGCGAAAGCCUGACCCAGCAACGCCGCGUGAGUGAAGAAGGCCUUCGGGUUGUAAAGCUCUGUUACAGGUGACGAAGGAAGUGACGGUAGCUUGUAAGGAAGCCCCGGCUAACUACGUGCCAGCCGCUGC
rnacentral:rRNA from 1 species